GGACUUGGGCUUGAGGGGAGGGGUGCUCUCUGUGCCUGAGGGACAUGGCAAUGGAACUGUCUCACACAGACAUCGCACCCUCCCCUCUGCCUGCUCA
rnacentral:pre_miRNA from 13 species